rnacentral:rRNA from 1 species
GCAUCGAUGAAGAACGCAGCGAAAUGCGAUAAGUAGCGUGAAUUGCAGAAUUCAGUGAAUCAUCGAAUCUUUGAACGCACAUUGCGCCCCUUGGUAUUCCAUGGGGCAUGCCUGUUCGAGCGUCAUUUGUACCUUCAAGCUCUGCUUGGUGUUGGGUGUUUGCCUCGCCUCUGCGUGUAGACUCGCCUCAAAACAAUUGGCAGCCGGCGUAUUGAUUUCGGAGCGCAGUACAUCUCGCGCUUUGCACUCAUAACGACGACGAUCCAAAAGUACAUUUUUACACUCUUGACCUCGGAUCAGGUAGGGAUACCCGCUGAACUUAAGCAUAUCAAUAAGCGGAGGAA